UCAAACCCAGUGCCUGCACAAUUAUGCAACCAUUUCCCAAAAAGUGACUUGCAUAUUUGAACAGCAGUCAGAAGGCCACAUACCAAAACAAGCUCAAAUCAGGGCAGGAGCAGAAUUAACAGCCAAUGCUUACAUCAUAGUACAUCACAAGAAAAUAUAAGCAGUGAUAACCACAGAUACAAGGGUUAGGGUCAAAUGGAGCCGGAGUAACUCAAAACACAAUGGUUUUUCAUCAGACUCUCAAACGAGUCGCAAAAGAACAUAGGUGCCCAUGGCGAGCAUAGCUAUAAACCAUCAACCUCAUAACAGCUUCAUAAAAUUCUGAAGCCCCACAAACCACAUCAGAAGACAGGCAAAUGAACACACGGCACAGGCAUGAAAACCUGAGUAAUCCACAAUGCACUAUUAUCCUCUUCAAACUGAAGAACAUUCUUACUAAAUACUGCAGUACAUGUUUCACAACUGUAAUCGCUGCAAAAUAUCAAAUAGACUCUUAUUGCUCAGCAACAGAACAUAGGUGCCCAUGCGGGCAUAGCUAUAAACCAUCAACCUCAGAACAGCUUCAUAAAAUUCUGAAGCCCCACGAACCACAUCAGAAGACAGGCAAAUGAACACACGGGAACAGGCAUGAAAACAUGAGUAAUCCACAAUGCACUCUUAUCCUCGUCAAACUGAAGAACAUUCUUACUAAAUACUGCAGUACAUGUUUCACAACUGUAAUCGCUGCAAAAUAUCAAAUAGACUCUUAUUGCUCAGCAACACCCGAAAAAUGUAUAACAUCAUGCUGGCAUCCGACAUUGUAACAAAGCCAAAAUCAUCCAUUCCGAUCGUAUACAUGUGACUAACACAGCAUAGAUAUUAUGCAUUCUCUAAUGGAGCAGCUAAACUGGAGAACGACAAACGCAAAAAUAAUCCAUUCUUGGCGACUGAUUGAUUUGAUCAAUUGAUCUGAGAGAACAGGAAGAGAU
rnacentral:lncRNA from 1 species